AUCUGGAUCAUUUACUUUGAAAAAAUUAGAGUGUUUAAAGCAGGCUUACGCCGUGAAUACAUUAGCAUGGAAUAAUAAUAUAGGACUUUUGUUCUAUUUUGUUGGUUUCUAGGAUGAAAGUAAUGAUUGAAAGGGAUAGUUGGGGGUGCUAGUAUUCAGUGGCCAGAGGUGAAAUUCUUGGAUUCACUGAAGACUAACUACUGCGAAAGCAUUCACCAAGGAUGUCUUCUUUAAUCAAGAACGAAAGUUGGGGGAUCGAAGACGAUCAGAUACCGUCGUAGUCUCAACCAUAAACUAUACCGACUAAGGAUCAGCGGACGUCAAUUUUUACGACUCCGUUGGCACUUUAUGAGAAAUCAAAGUCUUUGGGUUCCGGGGGGAGUAUGGUCGCAAGGCUGAAACUUAAAGGAAUUGACGGAAGGGCACCACCAGGAGUGGAGCCUGCGGCUUAAUUUGACUCAACACGGGAAAACUUACCAGGUCCAGACAUAGUGAGGAUUGACAGAUUGAAGAUCUUUCUUGAUUCUAUGGGUGGUGGUGCAUGGCCGUAUAGUUGUGGAGUGAUUGUCUG
rnacentral:rRNA from 1 species